rnacentral:rRNA from 1 species
UACGUAGGGGGCAAGCGUUGUCCGGAAUUAUUGGGCGUAAAGCGCGUGUAGGCGGUCCGGUAAGUCGGCUGUGAAAGUCCAGGGCUCAACCCUGGGAUGCCGGUCGAUACUGCCGGACUAGAGUUCGGAAGAGGCGAGUGGAAUUCCCGGUGUAGCGGUGAAAUGCGCAGAUAUCGGGAGGAGCACCAAUGGCGAAGGCAGCUCGCUGGGACGUUACUGACGCUGAGACGCGAAAGCGUGGGGAGCAAACAGG